GAGAUACAGAUCGUAUAGAUUGUGCCUGGCUCAGUCAGUCGAGGAAGGUCGCCAUUUAGUUUGUUGGUCCCAUACCCUUUCCUGCGGAAUAGCUCCGGGAAACUGGAAUUAAUACCGCAUACGCCCUACGGGGGAAAGAUUUAUCGGGGAAGGAUUGGCCCGCGUUGGAUUAGCUAGUUGGUGGGGUAAAGGCCUACCAAGGCGACGAUCCAUAGCUGGUCUGAGAGGAUGAUCAGCCACAUUGGGACUGAGACACGGCCCAAACUCCUACGGGAGGCAGCAGUGGGGAAUAUUGGACAAUGGGCGCAAGCCUGAUCCAGCCAUGCCGCGUGAGUGAUGAAGGCCUUAGGGUUGUAAAGCUCUUUCACCGAUGAAGAUAAUGACGGUAGUCGGAAAAGAAGCCCCGGCUAACUUCGUGCCAGCAGCCGCGGUAAUACGAAGGGGGCUAGCGUUGUUCGGAAUUACUGGGCGUAAAGCGCACGUAGGCGGAUAUUUAAGUCAGGGGUGAAAUCCCCGCAGCUCAACUGCGGAACUGCCUUUGAUACUGGGUAUCUUGAGUAUGGAAAAAGGUAAGUGGAAUUCCGAGUGUAGAGGUGAAAUUCGUAGAUAUUCGGAGGAACACCAGUGGGCGAAGGCGGCUUACUGGUCCAUUACUGACGCUCAAGGUGCGAAAGCGUGGGGGAACAAACAGGAUUAUAUUCCGCUGGUACUCCACGCCCGUAAAACAAUAAAUGUUAACGGCGGGCAGUAUCUUGUUCGGGUGGCCCAGCCUAACGCAUUAAACAUCCCGCCUGGGGGAGUACGGUACGCCAGAAUUACAACUUCCAAGGAA
rnacentral:rRNA from 1 species